GCCUGGUUGGCUCAGUCAGUUAAGCGUCCGACUUCAGCUCAGGUCACGAUCUAGCGGUCUGCGAGUUCGAGCCCCGCAUCGGGCU
rnacentral:tRNA from 1 species